UAGAGGGAGUCCAAAUUCCAAACAUCACAAAACAGAAUGGCGGGAAAAUUGACCAAAAAUUGCCCACAAAUAUCCCUCAUUCAUCACCAUCAUAAUUCACAACUGAUUCCAGAUCUGAUCUCCUAUCAGAUCUCUCAUUCAUUAUCAUUAUCAUUACUACUUCGGCCGGAUUGACCGAUUUCAAGAAGGUGGAACAUCUCGUAACCAUUCAAGAUCAAUGCUUCCAUGGUCUCUUACUAGUCGGUCAAGCAUGUCCUGUGUCAUGUAAGACCAUCAUAGGUAUCGGAUCAUGGUCUCCCGAUGCAUCUACUUGGCAUGGUUCUUCAUGCAACGGUUCACUGCUCGUGUUUCGCUUUACGGGAUACCGCGCAGCAAGUGCCAUAAACGCUGAACUGCAAUCGAAAUUGAUGAUGAUGAUGAACGAAAUCUAGUAGGGAGACUAGAAACGCACGUUUAAAUUUUAGUACUUGUUGUAAUUUGAUUUCUUAUUAUAUGUUGCCGUAAUUUGCUUACAAACGAUGUACUUGAAUUUAGCAAUGAAAUGAAAUUUUGAUUUUAAUACA